UUGAAAGGGAAACGAUUGAAGUCAGUCGUACCAGCGGGAAAUCAACCUUUCGAGUGGGGGUUUUGGAGUUUUGAAGAGUGUCAAAACCUUUGAGAUUUCAAAAUUUUCGCUCCUUUGGUGUACUUUCUCGUGGGUAGGUUAACAUCGAUUUCGAUCAUCAUAAAAGGAUUGGAGGAAUGUAGCUUCGAUCUUGUAUUGAAGUGUUAUAGCCUUUGGUAAAUGUGAUGAUUGGGAUCGAGGAUUGCAACGAAUACCCUUUUGGGCUAUCCGCCUGAUCUCUGAUACGUGGCCUUGGCAUCGAAAGCUUGCUUAUGGUAUCAAGGUAUUACGGUCAAAAGGUUAGAACGGAUUACAUUCGUUAAGGAUGUUGACGUA
rnacentral:rRNA from 1 species